rnacentral:rRNA from 1 species
GACGAACGCUGGCGGCGUGCCUAAUACAUGCAAGUCGAGCGAACGGACGAGAAGCUUGCUUCUCUGAUGUUAGCGGCGGACGGGUGAGGAACACGUGGAUAACCUACCUAUAAGACUGGGAUAACUUCGGGAAACCGGAGCUAAGACCUGAUAAUAGUUUGAACCGCAUGGUUCAAAAGUAAAAGACGGUCUUUCUGUCACUUAUAGAUGGAUCCGCGCUGCAUUAGCUAGUUGGUAAGGGAACGGCUUACUAAGGCAACGAUGCAUAGCAGACCUGAGAGGGUGAUCGGCCACACUGAGACUGAGACACGGUCCAGGCUCCUACGGGUGGGAGCAGUAGGGGUUCUUCCGGAAUGGGCGGAGGCCUGACGGAGCAACGCCGAGUGAGUGAUGAAGGUCUUCGCCUCGUAAAAGUCUGUUCUUAGCGACGACCAGAUGUGUAAGUAACUGUGCACAUCUUGACGGUACCUUAUCAGAAAGCCCCGGCUAACUACGUG